UCGAACGGUUAAAGCACCUUCGGGUGUGUAUAGAGUGGCGAACGGCUGAGUAACACGUGGGCAACCUGCCCUUUGCAUCGGGACAGCCUCGGGAAACCGUGGUUAAUACCGGAUACUCCAUCUUUCUCACAUGAAAAAGAUGGGAAAGUGUUUAGCGGCAAGGGAUGGGCCCGCGCCCUGUUAGCUUGUUGGUGGGGUAAAAGCCUACCAAGGCAAUGAUGGGUAGCCGGGUUGAGAGACCGACCGGCCAGAUUGGGACUGAGACACGGCCCAGACUCCUACGGGAGGCAGCAGUGGGGAAUCUUGCACAAUGGGCGAAAGCCUGAUGCAGCGACGCCGCGUGCGGGAUGAAGGCCUUCGGGUUGUAAACCGCUUUCAGCAGGGACGAGGCGAAAGUGACGGUACCUGUAGAAGAAGCCCCGGCUAACUACGUGCCAGCAGCCGCGGUAAUACGUAGGGGGCAAGCGUUAUCCGGAUUCAUUGGGCGUAAAGCGCGCGUAGGCUGCCCAGUAGGUCGAGAGUUAAAUCCGGGGGCUCAACCCCCGUCCGCUCCCGAUACCGCUGGGCUUCGAGUCUGGUAGGGGAAGGUGGAAUUCCCAGUGUAGCGGUGGAAUGCGCACAUAUUGGGAAGAACACCGGUGGCGAAGGCGGCCUUCUGGGCCAUGACUGACGCUGAGGCGCGAAAGCUAGGGUAGCGAACAGGAUU
rnacentral:rRNA from 1 species